rnacentral:tRNA from 1 species
GCUGGUGUAGUUCAGUGGCAGAAUGACAGGUUUCCAUCCUGUAGACGCGGCUUCGAUCCCCGCCACCAGCUCCA